ACGCUCGACACCUACGGGAGGCAGCAGUGAGGAAUAUUGGUCAAUGGGCGCUAGCCUGAACCAGCCAAGUAGCGUGAAGGAUGAAGGCUCUAUGGGUCGUAAACUUCUUUUAUAUAAGAAUAAAGUGCAGUAUGUAUACUGUUUUGUAUGUAUUAUAUGAAUAAGGAUCGGCUAACUCCGUGCCAGCAGCCUCGGUAAUCUGAGCGGGCUGGCAAGGC
rnacentral:rRNA from 1 species